rnacentral:lncRNA from 1 species
AAUCUGUGGGGAGUGCUAACCAGACAGUCCUGGGAGUCCUGCGGUAAUAGGAUUAGUUGCGAAGGUCUGCUGGGCAUUAAAAACAACUGUGGUCACUUUAGCAUGUGCUCCAGAAUAGCCUGCCAAAACAAACUGGUUAAUUUUUCUCUUUAAGGGGUUUGCUUUCUGAUCAUCUUUCAGAAUGGCAAAUACUAAACACCAUCAGGUAAUGCUGGACUAACCACUCACUGAAGAGUAUCUACUGUUUAGUCUUUACCUUUUUACCUUCCUGUCACACACAACAGGCAGGAAACAGGGUGUCAAAGAUGAGGAGGUUUGUUCGGCAACACAUUUCUUUUUUAACCUCAGGAGUUAUAAGAUCAUACAUCUCUGCUCCGAAAGCACUGACUUGGACAGCUGGAAUUGUGGUGACAAGAAACGUAUGUUAAUACUUUUUCAUUUAACCAGAACAAGGUAAUCUGAGCCAACCAAAAAGCAUUUCUCUCUUCCCCGCUCACAACACUGAGGAAUGUCAGAGGCCCUCAGGGAGUGAGGAUGCUUUAUGCGGAGUGGCCUGGGAAGGCCGGAAACCACUUAUUGGCUUUACCACUCUAAACCUCUGAAACAGUCAUGUCUCUUCUCAGACCUUUAUAUUUAGACUCCAGACAUCCUUGAGUCACACUUGCUAUAUUAAUACAGUUAAGGCAUCAAAUUAUCAUUAUCGGUAGCAAAACUUCUCUCCCUGUUUUACGACACAGGUAGUUUCAAUAAAAAGUUUUAUACCAGAAAAGAGGAGCUGUGGGCCUCUAUUUCACUUCACUACUCUUUUUCAAAUCAUGUCAGAUGUUAUUUCCUAUGUCUGGAGUCUUUCUGGAUUCUUCUUCUUCUUCUUCUUCUUCUUCUUCUUAUUAUUAUUAUUAUUAUUGGUGUAUAUGUUUACUUCUUAAGCAAGGUUAGAAUUCCAUCUUCAUGUUCAGAUUCUCUUCCACUAUAAUUGUUUUAUUUGUUUGUUUGUUUGUUUUUUCCUGAGACAGAGUCUCACUCUGAUGCCCAGGCUGGAGUAUAGUGGUGCGAUCACGGCUCACAGCAGCCUCAACCUCCCGGGUUCAAGAGAUCUUCCCACCUCAGCCUCCCUAUUAGUUGAGACUAUGGGCACAUCUCACCAUGCCUGGCUAAUUUUUGUAUUUUUUGUAGAUAUGCUGUUUCACCAUGUUGCCCCAGCUGGUCUUGAACUCCUGGGCUAAAACAAUCUACCUGGCUUGGCCUCCCAAAGUGCUGGGAUUACAGGCAUGAGCCACUGUGCCCAGCUCUCUUCCAUUAUAAUUUCACCAUUACCAACCACCUCAGGUAAUGGUUUAUUUCAAAAUUUGGCUCACAAUUUCCAGAGGUGUUGAAGAAUGAUUGCAGGAAAGUGACUAUCAUACUAUGGAACCCAAUCUACUACUUGUCAAUGCCAGUGGAGAGCAGGGGGUCAUAUGACCUCUCCCCUUUCUGGAUCUUUCUCUCAUACUCACUUCCUCACAGGUGCAAGAGUUUCAGAAGCUGCUUCUACCCUGAGUAACAGUGCUGAGAACUCACUGGAUUGCCCAUGAUCAGUGGGUUCUGGAAGCAAAUGGACAGAAGGAAUUCAAGAUUAACACAGAAAGAGACCAUGACAUCACCACCACAUGCAUGUGGCCUCCAGACAGUAACUGUAAUAUGAGAAACAUCAUACAAUAAUUCAGAAAGUAAUUUCAAGCACCUGCUUUGUGGUAUUAAAAACCCAGAGAAAGUUAUGUGUGCCCAGUUUUAGAAUUUUUCCUGCUCGUUUUAAAAAUUUAUAUUUAGGUUUAAUAAUAUAUAAGCAUAAAAUAGGGAUAACAUAAAUGAGCACUUACUAUAUUCCAGGCGCCACUCUAAUGGUUUCAAGGCGUUUUUUCUUUUUUGUUUUUUUUUUUCUCUCUCACUGAAACAUCACAAUAAUGCUAUUAGGCAGGUUCUAUUAUCAUUCCCAUUUUAUAGACAAGUAAACUUGAAGACAAAUCUUUUUGUCCUUUUUCCAUUUUAUGCAAUGCUAAUUUUAGGCAGAGUACAUAUUUCAAUUAGUAGUUUCCCUUUUCCCAUCACACAAGAAAGAUGUGCUUUGUCUCCCCGAGACAUUUAUUAUUAGAGGAAUAACAGUAAAAUUGAGAGAGAGGAACAAAAAAACCAAUACAUAAAAACAGUGCAAUUUAAAAAAUCAAGUUGAAUUAUUUGGUUGCUUAUUGGCUCAAAGAGACAUUGGGACUUUGCCUCCCAACAAAACCAUUAUUUUUUUUUUCAAUAGUUUCCAACCUAAAUUUCUGAAAUAUUUCUGUUUUAUUAUUUACUAGGUAACAUCCUGUUUAUCAGAAGGGGAAACUAAUGACACUUUAGCUUAUCUCAUUAUAAAACAAAUAGAACCCGGAAUUAUUAAAGUUCUUUUUUAAAUAAAAUAAAAUCAAUGCUUUGGUAAACUUUUUUCUUUUUUUUUGAGACAGAGUCUUGCUCUGUCACCCAGGCUGGAGUGCAGUGGCGUGAUCUCACUCACUGCAGCCUCCACGACCCGGGUUCAAACAAUUCUCCUGCCUCAGCCUCCUGAGUAGCUGGGACUACAGGUGCACGUCCCCACAUCCAGAUCAUUUCUUUUGUAGUUUAGUAGAGACAGGGUUUCUUACUUAACUGUUUCACACCUUUGAACUUGCAUUCUAACGGCAAUCAUUGGAAGCUUAUGUGCACUUCUACGGUGUCUUCCUCUUCCCCCUACUUACCAGGUGCCUUUUGGCUAUGCUUGUUGUUCUGUGAUCUAGAAGUUAUCUUUGAAUCUCUCCCAUCAAACAGAAUGUUGAUACAUGCUUGUUACUUAAAAAUGUUCAAAUGAUUAAUAAAUGAAGAAAUAAAUGAAUAGAGGAAUCUUUUAAAGGUGACGAGGAUAUGGAAAAAUAAUUUAAAAAAAACUUCUUGUAAAUGAAACUGAUUGAAACAUCGCCUAGUUCUUUAAGCUCUGGGUUAGUCAGGUUUGCUGGUUUUAAUUCCUCUCUCCUCCAGAGUAUCAUAUCUAUCUUUACUCUGGACCUUUCUUGAGAAACUUAGAUCAAAUGUAAAGGCUUCCUUGGAACCAAUAAAACAAAAUUACUUAUGUUACAUGUGCCAUGUCAUACCUUCCUUUAAAAUAACACCCAUACAAACACAGACACAUACAUGUUCUCAUAUACACUCAUACAUAUUCACACAUAUGCUUAUAUAAACAACAAACACUAUCACUAUCAUGUUUUAAUAUGGUUAUUGGUGCAUGGUGUCCCUUAGUUCCUUGCAAGCACUUCCUACAUGUUUUCUCACUCAGUAAAGCAUGUGUGUGUCUGUGUGUUUCCAACAUAAUUUUACAGCUAGAUAUUUAAAUCCCAUUCUGGUUCAUAAACUUGUCUGGACCAUCAAGUACAUGUUUUUGCUUUUUCAACACUAGGAAUUUCCCAGGCUCACUGGCAAAACCAAUCAAAUGUCUGUUUCUGUUUCAAAGAUGAACUAUUCAAACUUAUUGGCUUGUACCUGCCUUCUCCCUGCCUCUCCUCUAUCCCUGUGUUACCAAUCUUAAAACAUUAAGUAUGUUGAAAUGAUUCUUAGGUUGGGUGGCAGAAACCACAGGUAUGAG